rnacentral:sRNA from 1 species
UUGAUAUAAGCUUUGUACCAGACAGUGAAGAUUAUUAGAGGAUUUUCAAAGGUAUAGAUUUUCAUUACUUCUGUAUUAUAUACUUUUGAAAUUUAUGGAUUAGCCUCCAUCUUCUAUCAAUUCACCAAUGUCCAAAGACACCCACCCACAUAAUAUAUGUAUUUCAAACAACACAAUGUCACUCAUACAACAGGCAAAGCUGACAUGUAUUUCAAACCACCUAUUCAUCUCACAUCACAUAUAUAACACCACACAUCACACAUAAAUAGAUCACGUUACACGUCACAUCAUCGCUGAUGGCAAGAGACUGUACCAUUCAAUUAUUAAUAUCUUCUAUCAAUGAGAAAUAAAUUUAAAAUUUUGAAUGACCAGAAAACUAAUGAAAUGACUGUGGAUUAUUGAUAGCAUAAAGAACAGCUUGCAGAGACUCAAACAAUCAAACGAUUGACCAAGUGCAUGAAUAUAAAUAUCUAGUGACAAUCAUAAACAACUAGCCGACAUGAGCACUGUCAAAAUCUUUACACCAAGAUACAUCAAAGACUUUUCUAUUUUAGGAAGCUAGGACAUUUUAAAGUUGACACAGGCCCCUCCAAUAGUCUGAUUCCUUUGGUUAGUGCCUGCUAUGUUGGUAAUACUUCAAUGGCACAAAGAUAUCGAAUAGACAUUUAAAAACAAACAUGUGACUUGAACACAGCUCUUGAACUAGUUUUUGGAAGAUUCCUUUCCAAAACAUACAAUUCUUAAAGAUCAUUUGCAUCCACUUUACCACAGUUGGAGCUGGAAUUGCACAGUCCACAGACUUGUGAAGCUUAAAACAAUCUGGCAAGACAGAGGUCCAGCCCUCGACACUCAAAUCAGACUGAUGCGCUUCUUGGUCUUAGUCACAUUCUUGUAUGCUAAUCUUGGACGCUAAUUGCAGAACCAGAGAGAAGGACCCUAGCAAUGCAAUUGAGAUGCCUUAUCAGGAUCCUAGGUAUCACCUACAAAAAAUUGCAUCUCAUUUGAGGGGAUUUGAAACAAGAUGACAAUGGCUAUUGAGUCACACGACGAUCUGCUAUCACCACAGGUAUAACUUCUAUUUAUGUCGAUAAACACCACGAGGAAAUGUUCCCUCUCUGCUGAAAGUGUUUCUAUGAUAAACAUCUAGAUCUAGGCCUAAUGUGCCUUAUAAGUUUCAAUAGUAAACAUUAUAUCGAAAUAAUUGAUAACAAAAUGAAGUGAUUGCCACCGGUAUUGACACGUAGCAUGGCCAUGAUACAUUUCUUUGAGUUGGAUGUAACAAUCACAACGCAGUUCAGCAAUUUGAAAUAAAUCAAGAUCAGCGAAAACGAGAUGCUCUUGGGGGAUUUAUUUCAAUUUAGUUCAACAAACGUGUCUACACCUUCGCUGGAUGUAACUAUGUGAAGAACUACUGCAACGCUACACUGGAUGUGAUUAUGUGACGAACUAGUGUAACGCCUCGUCGGAUGUAAUUAUGACAAUACAUAUAUUUCUAAUGCUACACUGGAAGUAGUGAUAUGGUCAUAGGUUUUAACGCUACGUUGUAUGUAGUACUAGUGAUAAAUGGUCUAACACUAGGCUGGAUGUACUUAUAUGGACAUAUCCAUUGCAAAAACUCCAUCGUCAAAUACGCCUUCGCCAAACAUGGUCCAAACCUGGGUACUUCAGCUGAUUCUGGUGGUGACGGCCCUGGCUGAGAGAUGUACAAAAGCAGUCCCAGUUCAAACAAUUCCUACCAAAAAAGUGACUGUACUAAGACGUGUACCAGCUACUUGCUCAAACUGGGACAAAGCCUGGGCGUGGCUGACUAAGGUUGACUGUGGCACCAAAUAUAGUUGAUCUUCCGCUUUAAUGCCCUAAAGUUGGUUUUGAACCAGUUUCCUGAGCUUGUGUUUACUUGAUGUGAUAGACAUAGACGUUCAAACUAGAAUAACAACAUUUGUGACAUUUUGUGACAAUUCAGGACAGAUUUUAAGUUUCAA